rnacentral:misc_RNA from 1 species
AACUUUUAACAACGGAUCACUUGGCUCUCGCAUCGAUGAAGAACGCAGCGAAAUGCGAUAAGUAAUGUGAAUUGCAGAUUUUCAUUGAAUCAUCGAAUCUUUGAACGCACCUUGCGCUCCUUGGUAUUCCGAGGAGCAGGCCUGUCUGACUGUCAUCAAAUUCUCAACUCCAAGGGUUUCACGUACUUUUGGAGGUUGGACUUGGAGGUGCCGGCCGCAUCUAUGGUCAGCUCCGCUCAAAUGCAUCAGCGGAAUUAAACCUUUGGCUUCCGGGAGUCAGUGUGAUAAUCUUGUUGAGCUGUCGUUUGAUCCUCAGAGUACGCUUAUAAUGGUCUUUGUACACCUAAUCAUCAAAUUUGACCUCAAAUCAGGUAGGACUACCCGCUGAACUUAAGCAUAUCAAUAAGCGGAGGCU